UCCCAUGUAGCUCAGUUGGUAGAGCAUUAUGCUUCAAAUGCCAGGGUUGUGGGUUUGAUUCCCAUGGGGGAA
rnacentral:tRNA from 1 species